UACGUAGGGGGCAAGCGUUGUCCGGAUUCAUUGGGCGUAAAGAGCGUGUAGGCGGCCAGGUAGGUCGGUUGUGAAAACUGGAGGCUCAACCUUCAGAGGUCGACCGAAAACCAUCUGGCUAGAGUCCGGGAGAGGAGAGUGGAAUUCCUGGUGUAGCGGUGAAAUGCGCAGAUAUCAGGAAGAACACCCGUGGCGAAAGCGGCUCUCUGGAACGGUACUGACGCUGAGACGCGAAAGCGUGGGGAGCGAACAGGAUUAGA
rnacentral:rRNA from 1 species